GUUAUAAAAAUGAAUCAGUACCCUUGUCUAAGUCUGAGUAGAUGUGUGCAGCUGUACUGAACUAUCUACCGUGUGAAGAUGACCGAACAUGGACAUUUGUGUCGCUUUGCGUAAAAACUCAUAACAAGUUACUGUGUUUACACUGAAGACAGCCUUCCUGCUGACCUGCGACACAUUAACUAGCUAAAUGUCGGAUAACUACAGGGCGUUUGUUGUCAUUGCACACACAUCUUUACACUUGGCACAUGGGAACAGAUGAGCUGGACUUCAAGACUAACUCCUAAAGGAAGCAUUAGAGCUGAACUAUGCUGUGACUAUUAUUCUCUGCACUGCGCAAUGCCGCUGAAUGCAUAGUCUCCUGCUGUGGCUCCUCAAAGAAGGACAGGACAUCAGCAGGAUGCCCAUACCAGUAUGAAGGGCAGAACGUGUGGACAGUCUCAAGUGAUGGAACAAAAUCCACUCAAAAUCAUCCCUAAUUGCUCCCAGCAGAGUGGACAGAAGAGAUGCACAUUUCCCCACCACCCGAUUUACCUCUCAAGCGUAUUUACUUGAUCUUUUUUGCUCUGUGCUUGUUUUAAUGAUGACUUGUCCUAAAACUCCUGGUUGGGAAGUUGGAUGAUGUCUGACAGCUGACAAGUGCAGCAGUGGCUCAGAAGUGGCUUACAAUUUCCUGUAUGUACCAAUCAUUUAUAUGGUAUGAAAGUGGCCAGCACAGCAAAUUAAA